GUGCAGAGCCGGCUCCCCGCUGCAGUCCCGGGGCGGCGGGCGGGCGCUGCGCUGCCGGCACAGCGGUAUGGCGGCGGCGGGCCCGGGGCGCGGCGGCAGCGGCGGCGGCUGGGGCCGGAGCCGGGGCGCCGUCCUGCUGCUCUUCUUCUCGCUGUCGCCGCGGCCGCCGGCCGGGGCCGCCUGGCUGCUGGGGCUGCGGCCCGAGGACACGACGCCGGGCCGGGUGUCCCUGGAGGGCGGCGCGGUGCAGGCGGCGGAGGGCAGCCGCUUCCUGCUGCGCCUCUACUUCCAGCCGCCGCCCGAGGGAAACGGCAGCCGCGGGCCGGCGGGGGAGCGGGAGCCGCGGCUGGUGUUCAUCGAAGAGGCGGCGGCGGGGAGCACGGCGGCGCGGGGCCCGGCGGAGCGGUGCCGGGAGCGCAGCGCCUGGGCCUCGGACGUGGAGGUGGUGGGGCCGCUGCGCUCGGGGGGCGCGGCGGGAUCGGCGCUGGCCGAGGUGCGGGUGCGGGAGCCGCGCAAGGGCGAAGCAGCGGCGGCGCCGGGCGGGCGGGUUUUCUCUCUGUGCGCCUGGGACGGGCGGGCCUGGGCGCACCACGGUGCGGCGGGAGGCUUCUUGCUGCGGGUGCAGCCGGCUACCCCGGCGCUGGGCACCUGGCUGCUGCCGCUGCCCGAGGAGGGCUGGCUGCGGGCGCUGGGCGCCCUGCUGCUGCUGGGGCUGUCGGCGCUGUUCAGCGGGCUGCGCCUCUCGCUGCUCUCCCUGGACCCGCUGGAGCUCCGCGUCCUGCGCAACAGCGGCUCGGCCGCCGAGCGGGAGCAGGCGCGGCGGGUGCAGGCGGUGCGCGGCGGCGGCGGCACCUACCUGCUGUGCACUCUGCUGCUGGGGCAGGCGGGGGCCAACGCGGCGCUGGCCGGCUGGCUCUGUGCCUCGCUGCCCGGCGGCGGGCCGGCGGUGGCGGCCGGCGGGCCCCGGGGAGCACCCUGGCUACCGGUGGUGCUGUGCGCCGCCGCCGUGUUCCUGGGCGGCGAGGUGCUGCCCUACUCGGUCUGCUCGCGGCACGGGCUGGCCAUCGCCUCCCGCACCCUCUGCCUCACCCGGCUGCUGAUGCUGGCCGCCUUCCCCCUCUGCUACCCGCUCAGCCGGUUGCUGGACUGGGCACUGCGACAGGAGCUCAGCGUCUUCUCUACGCGGGAGCGGCUGCUGGAGACGCUGCGCGCCGCUGGCCCUCACGGAGACCUGGUGCGGGAGGAGUUGGCCAUGGUGCAGGGCGCGCUGGAGCUGCGCACCAAGGUGGUGGAGGAUGUGCUGACGCCGCUGGCGGACUGCUUCAUGCUCCGGGCCGAUGCCGUGCUGGACUUCGCCACCGUCUCCGAGAUCCUCCGUUCUGGCUACACCCGCAUCCCGGUCUAUGAGGGUGACCGGCGCGACAACAUUGUCGACCUGCUCUUUGUCAAGGACCUGGCCUUUGUCGACCCCGAUGACUGCACUCCCCUGCAGACUGUCACCCGCUUCUACCGCCGCCCGCUCCACUGUGUCUUCAACGACACGCGCCUCGACACGCUGCUUGAGGAGUUCAAGAAGGGAAAGUCCCACCUGGCCAUCGUGCAGCGGGUGAACAACGAAGGGGAAGGAGACCCAUUCUACGAGGUGAUGGGCAUUGUCACCCUGGAAGAUGUCAUUGAAGAGAUCAUCAAGUCCGAGAUCCUGGAUGAGACGGAUCUGUACACGGACAAUCGGAAGAAGGAGCGGGUUCCCCACCGGGGACGCAAGCCCCAGGAUUUCUCCAUCUUCAGGCUGUCAGAGAGUGAGAUGAAGGUGAAGAUCUCCCCACAGCUCCUCCUGGCUACCCAUCGGUUCAUGGCAACAGAAGUGGAGCCUUUCAAGUCCCCCUACCUCUCUGAGAAGAUCCUGCUGCGGCUCCUAAAACACCCCAAUGUAAUCCAGGAGCUCAAGUACGACCGAAAGAACAAGAAGGCAGCAGAGCAUUACCUCUACCAGCGCAACCGCCCCGUCGACUACUUUGUCCUCAUCCUGCAGGGGAAAGUGGAGGUGGAGGUUGGCAAGGAAGGACUGCGGUUUGAGAAUGGAGCAUUCACUUACUAUGGUGUCCCUGCCAUCAUGGCUGUCGUCUCCUCAGCUCCAACUGUUGUUUCAGAUAAUGAUGUGCGAAAAGUGGGAAGCCUGGCUGGAUCCUCCUUCCUAUGUAAGUAUUUCGGGACAGGCUGGGGCCCUAAAACCUCUCCUCUGAAGCACUGGCUGGCUGGAGGAGGGCUGGUUUUUCACCCUGUGCAGAGCAGCUUAGACUCUAUGCUGAGGUCAUCCCUUAAAGAGCUUGGCAGAGAAACAACAUGUUAAGGAGCUGAUGCAGCAAAGUCCCCACAGAGGGAGUUUGAGGUCCCUUUGAAGUUUCUACUGUGUGCUGGAUCUCUGCAGGUGGGUCCCAACAUGGCUCGUGCUGCAAGGGGCCCUGCCCAAGGGUGGCAGCAUGCUCAUGCCAAUGGGAGCAGUGAACCCUGGGACCCUGGGAGCAGUAAACCCUGUGACUUCUCACAUGGUUCUUCUAAGUCUCAGCGUGACAUCUCUGGACCCAUUUGCAUUCCCAAGGCUCAGGGCAUGAGAUGAGCAUAGGUCCCACACUGGGGGAAUGGGAGCUGCUCGGAAAUUGUAAAGGUGUGUCAAUUUACCUGUGGGAUGUUUGCACGUGGUGGUGGUAAAUUAGCUGAGUUGGUGCCCCAGUGCUGAUAAAUUCCCUGCCUGAAGAAGCAGAUCCUCUGUUUGCAGAAGUUAAGAGGGAGCUCUGAUUAGGGGAGACUGUGAGGUACCCCCUUCUUUGCUGAUCACCCCUGCAAAUAUUUAGUCCCUGGUGGCUCAGGAACAGGUUGAGGUGCUACCCACCCCCAGUCCAUCACAUCCCUCAUCCAAACCCCAGAUGUUGCAGUCAGAUCUGCAGUGCUGAUGGUAAACCAAGAUGCUCUUGGUGCCUAAUCAAAACAAGAACCCACUAAGUUUAACCUUUAGGGAGGUGUAAAGAGGAAUGGGAUUGAGAGAACAGGGGAAGUCCCUUGGGGCAGGUGACUUACUCUGGUGAGUACCAGUCUUUGUGCAGCUCUAGGAUUCACCUAUUUUCUGCAACUUGAUUUGCUUCCAUUCAAAGUCUGGCUCGUGGACUGCUGUAUUAACCCCUCAGUGCUCAUUCCUGCUUCCCCAUGCGUCCACAGUGCACUCAGUUUGGACAGAGGAAAUCAGUGAAGUGGUUGAUGUUGCUGGGUGGCCCAAUGCCCCCAUGUCCUGGGUGAUGGUACUCAGGGCCCCACUGGGGCUCACGCAGGCCACAGGCCACGGGCCAGGCAGGGCUGUGUCAGCUGUGUCAGUGCAGCCGUGCAUAUCUGCCGCGCCGCCUGCCAGAACGCUGCCGAUCCCCAUGCUCACAUGUGACAGUGUCACAAGAUGUUUUCUGCUGUGCAGGCAUCCCUGCCUGCCAUGGGACAUAUGUGGCAUCACACUCCUGGCCAGCAAGGAAGCAGGCUGGGAAGCAGAGGUGACAGGGCAUCUCCCUUGUCAGGCUGGCAUCCUCCUUCCUCCUGGAAGGAAAGCCCAACAGAAAUGAGCGUGAGUAGUGUAUCACAGCUGAGAAUUCUGACAUUAACCCUUGAGCAUUUAACAGUUAUUAAUUAACUGUUGUUAUGCAACUUUUUUAUCGACAGCUGAUCUUUGGCAUUGGUGCCCUGUGGUGACAGAUGCUGGGGGAGGGUUGGAUGGUGACAGCAGGCAGUGAGUGCUGGUGGUUAUCAACUCGUCCUUUGCCCCCAUCUGGACAAGUUUGUUUGGGGCAGUGCUUCAUGGUGGUGUCUUUUUUAUUUGCAGAAGGUUUUUAUUUGGGGGAGGACAUGGAACAGGAGUUACUGGGGAAGAUCAGAAAAUGGGGCUGCAGGGCAAAUUUCCUGCAGCAAUUUAAAAACAUUAAUCACAGAGGCAGAAGAUGGUUCCUAGAAUAUUGCAGCCAUGCUACAGGCACGGUGGCUGGAGGUAGGGCAGCCAGAGGGCUUGUAUCUUCCAGUGCUUUCGAGGCAGGUGCUGGCAAAGAGCAGAGAUGAGACACGGGAGAGUGUUAAGGAGUGCACCACUCAGCCUGUGUGUUGGUCUCUCUGUGCUCCCCAGUGGAGCCCUGUACUCUGUACCCUGUGGCAUGGCCCAGGGAUGCUGUGGAGGGCAGUAAUCACAGGGAGGGGGAACAACCUGCCUUGAAAUUGUCGCUGCUGCUGUAACCCAUGGCAAUAAAACAUGGAAUGUGAGUGUCUGUGAUUUACCCUCUUUGUGGCAAUGGGUCAGAUAGCCCUGAAUGCAGGAUCCUGGCUUCUUGCAGUUCCUGCAAGGAUCAGCCUGCAGUGGGUAGCUCUUCUCAGCAUUGCCCCAAGGCUAUUGAGACCCAGGGCCUUGCAGGGAACUCCAGGCAGCCUGGCAUGAAUCCCUUUGCUUUCAAGGGAUUCAAGGUGAAUCACCCUCUGCCCGCCCCUGCCUGCAGCUGUGGGGCUGGGCUGUUGCAGAGCACACUCCUUCUCUGCCGUGUGCCUGCACACACAGAAGCAUCCCAGAUGCCAAGCACAGUGACUUACCUUCCUCUCAUUUCCCAGGCGGCAUAAGCUGACCACAAACUCCCCUGUCCUGGCAGUGGCUGGCAAAGGGUUAGAAAAGGAUCCUAGCACUCAGGCAAUUGGAGGAAGAUGCUUUCUACCCAUGCCAAGGCUCUAAGGAGUUGUGUGGCUGUGCAGACAGGCCGGGCAGGAGCUGGUUCUCACCCCCCUAACCUCACCUCCCCUUACUUCAUCACAGAGAAGCCUGUUGAUUUACAGCAUUCAAGUCUGUGUUCCUGCUGUUGUCCCCGUCCUCUGGACUGUGCCUGUCUCAGUGUCCCGUACCUUCGCCUUCAGCAGAGGGGACUCCCUGGCUGGCUCUCCAG